rnacentral:ncRNA from 1 species
UAGAGUAGAUAUUGCGCGUCAAGUGUCAUGAGAUGGGAUGUUGCUCAUGAACGAAGGAUCAGAUCUGCGGUGUAAUAUCGCGUCCGCUA